rnacentral:lncRNA from 1 species
GACACUUCAAUUUGCUGGGAUCAAUAUACUUAGUGCUCUGAGUUCUUAAAACAUGAUGUCCUGCAGAGAUUUCCUAGAAUGAUUGUGAUGGGAAGUCCCAGGAUUCUUUCUGCAUUAUGUUUGGAGAACAGUAGUCCAGGUUGAAGCAGGAGAAAAUAAGAGUUCCAGAAGGCCAUGUCCCAAAGACCAAAAUGUUGAUGUAUUUGAAGAUGAUGAAAUUUUGGGUUCAUUUGAAGAUUUCACAGCUGAAUUUAAUGGUCAAGAACAAUGAAAGUAAAUGAACCAGACACUAGGAUAUACACCUGUAAUCCCAGCAAAUGUGCAGGUUGAGAAAGGAUCUUAAAUUCAACAUCAAACUCAGCAGUUUAGUCAGACCAUAUCAAAAUAUGUAAAAAGGGCUGGGAUGUAUUUCGGUAAAGCACCCCUGACUUAGAUCCCCAGGCCAAAAAAAAAAAGUUAAGGAUGAGGAUACAGAAACUUGGUACUAUAAUAUGGAGUUAGUCUUAGUUGGAGCUGCUGUAAGAAACAAAAUGAGUAACUUAUACAUCACAGAAUAUUCUCACAGUUGUGGAAUCUGGAAAUUUAAAAAUCAAGGCACUAACAAAUUUUGAUGUGUGGUUUCUGUGUUGCUUUCACAGGGCAGAAGCAGUGAGAAAUCUUGGUUUUUUUUGUAAGGGCAGGUAGAAUCUUAUUUGUGAGGGCUCUGCCCUCAUGUCUUGAUCACAUCCCAAUACUGUCACCUUGGGAAUUAGGAUUUCACCAUAGGAAUUUUGGGGGAAACAGACCAUAGCAGGGCUCAACUUUGACAUUUUCUUGGUCAUAAUGAUGGCAGUACUUACUAAAAAUAAUUGUAUUUAAUUAAUGAACUACAGAUGGGCAGGUAAUGUGUGUAAUAGUAAUUCUCAUUUUACAUAAUAGAAAUCAGUAACUUUAAAAAGCAGCAAAUGGAGGGGCUGGGAUUGUAGCUCAGGGGUAGAGUGCUUGCCUUGUGUGAGGUACUGGGUUCGAUCCUCAGCACCACAUAAAAAUAAAAGUGUUGUGUUCAUCUUCAACCACUGAAGGAAAAAAAAAAUGGAGAAUUAGGAGCAUCUUAUUCAGAAACAGGCCGAAGAAAAAUAGUGGCUUCUAGGGAAGUUGGGGCAGAAGACUUAAGAUUUUGUAAGUGAACCUUCAAAACUGAGCUGAACAUUUUAUUCUAGGAUUGCCUCAGUUGUCAAAGGCCAACAGAAAGCUUGAGUUCUCUAUCCACUAGGUGCUGGUGUUUCCACUAAGGCCUGUGCCUGCUCCUUUAGUACCUUUGUAUCCAAGUGUUUGUCUUUCCUUAGGUAUGCAACAAGAUGGGACCUUUCUGGCUGGGGCUAUAGUUCAGUGGUAGAGAGCUUGCCUAACGUGUGAGGCACUGGGUUUGAGAAUAGUAGGUUACCUAUUGAGUUGAAGUAGGAUGUCCUGAUUUAUUUAUAGAUUUAAAUUGUUUGAAGGAAGACAAUUGUAGUGAACAAUGGAACUUUUUCCUAGAAAGCCAGACAAGCAGCCUGGGAAAUGUAUGGAAUGUAUGGAAAACAAAGUUUCCUGCAGAAUUUCAGCAUGGCACAUGUAUGAAGUGCAGAAGGCUCAGAGAUGUGAAGCCAGAUUUUGGAUACAUGGCUCAACUGAAAAGGAAAAAAGUUGGGCUUAGUAGUGUGUGCCCAAAAACCUAACCAUUCUCAAGGAUUAGAGGCUGGUGGAUCAUUUGAGGCCAACUUGGGUAACAUAGCAAGACCCUGUCUCCUCCUCCUCCUCUUUUUUUUUUUUUAGGAUUAAUUUGGGAAUGAAAUGGAUAUGUCAAUUAUUAGACAAAUUUUUAAAAUUUAUCUGAAAUUUGAGUUAUGCAUUCAUCUUAUCCAUAGUUUAUAUUUUAGUAGCACAUAAAAUAAUGAUGCAUC